UGGGGAAUUUUGGACAAUGGGCGCAAGCCUGAUCCAGCCAUUCCGCGUGGGUGAAGAAGGCCUUCGGGUUGUAAAGCUCUUUCGCAAGGGAAGAAAACUUAGAUACUAAUAUUAUCCGAGGUUGACGGUACCUUGAUAAGAAGCACCGGCUAACUACGUGCCAGCAGCCGCGGUAAUACGUAGGGUGCGAGCGUUAAUCGGAAUUACUGGGCGUAAAGCGUGCGCAGGCGGUUUUGUAAGUCAGAUGUGAAAUCCCCGAGCUCAGCUUGGGAACUGCGUUUGAAACUACAAGACUAGAAUAUGUCAGAGGGGGGUAGAAUUCCACGUGUAGCAGUGAAAUGCGUAGAGAUGUGGAGGAAUACCAAUGGCGAAGGCAGCCCCCUGGGAUAAUAUUGACGCUCAUGCACGAAAGCGUGGGGAGCAAACAGG
rnacentral:rRNA from 1 species